AAGUCGUAACAAGGUUUCCGUAGGUGAACCUGCGGAAGGAUCAUUAUUGUACAAAAUGUGAGGGGCAUGCGAGGGCUGUCGCUGACUCAAAGUCGUGCACGCCCGAGUGUGUCCUCUCACAUAAAUAAUCCAUCUCACCCUUUGUGCAUCACCGCGUGGGCACCCUUUGGGAUCAUCUCGGAGGGGGCUCGCGUUUUCACACAAACCCCCCUUUUAAAAGUGUAGAAUGACCUCAUUUAUGCGCUAACCCGCAAUCAAUACAACUUUCAACAACGGAUCUCUUGGCUCUCGCAUCGAUGAAGAACGCAGCGAAAUGCGAUACGUAAUGUGAAUUGCAGAAUUCAGUGAAUCAUCGAAUCUUUGAACGCACCUUGCGCCCCUUGGUAUUCCGAGGGGCACACCCGUUUGAGUGUCGUGAAAACCUCAACCUCCUUGGUUUCUUCUGGAGACCAAAGCAGGCUUGGACUUUGGAGGCCUUUGCUGGCACCUCUCUUUUGAAGGCCAGCUCCUCUUAAACAAAUUAGCAGGGUCCUCUUUGCCGAUCCUCGACGUGUGAUAAGAUGUUUCCAUGUCUUGGUUUCUGGCUCUGUCACUUUUGGGACCCGCUUCUAACCGUCUUGAGACCUUGCGUCGAGACAACGUUCGAGCAUGUCUCCCUUUUCUCGGGAAGCUCCCUCGACCCCACGAACCCUUGACCUCAAAUCGGGUGAGACUACCCGCUGAACUUAAGCAUAUCAAUAAGCGGAGGAAAAGAAACUAACGAGGAUUCCCGUAGUAACUGCGAGUGAAGUGGGAAGAGCUCAAAUUUGUAAUCUGGCAGUCGUUGGAUUGUCCGAGUUGUAAUCUAGAGAA
rnacentral:misc_RNA from 1 species